UACGUAGGGUGCAAGCGUUGUCCGGAAUUAUUGGGCGUAAAGAGCUCGUAGGCGGUCUGUCGCGUCUGCUGUGAAAACUCAGGGCUUAACCCUGAGCUUGCAGUGGGUACGGGCAGACUAGAGUGCGGUAGGGGAGACUGGAAUUCCUGGUGUAGCGGUGAAAUGCGCAGAUAUCAGGAGGGAACACCGGGUGGGCGAAGGCGGGUCUCUGGGCCGUAACUGGACGCUGGAGGAGCGAAAGCAUGGGGAGCGAACAGG
rnacentral:rRNA from 1 species